rnacentral:rRNA from 1 species
AUCCGGGUUGCGGACAGUGUCUGGUGGGUAGUUUGACUGGGGCGGUCUCCUCCUAAAGAGUAACGGAGGAGCACGAAGGUUGGCUAAUCCUGGUCGGACAUCAGGAGGUUAGUGCAAUGGCAUAAGCCAGCUUGACUGCGAGCGUGACGGCGCGAGCAGGUGCGAAAGCAGGUCAUAGUGAUCCGGUGGUUCUGAAUGGAAGGGCCAUCGCUCAACGGAUAAAAGGUACUCCGGGGAUAACAGGCUGAUACCGCCCAAGAGUUCAUAUCGACGGCGGUGUUUGGCACCUCGAUGUCGGCUCAUCACAUCCUGGGGCUGAAGUAGGUCCCAAGGGUAUGGCUGUUCGCCAUUUAAAGUGGUACGCGAGCUGGGUUUAGAACGUCGUGAGACAGUUCGGUCCCUAUCUGCCGUGGGCGCUGGAGAACUGAGGGGGGCUGCUCCUAGUACGAGAGGACCGGAGUGGACGCAUCACUGGUGUUCGGGUUGUCAUGCCAAUGGCACUGCCCGGUAGCUAAAUGCGGAAGAGAUAAGUGCUGAAAGCAUCUAAGCACGAAACUUGCCCCGAGAUGAGUUCUCCCUGAGACUUAAGGUCUCCUGAAGGAACGUUGAAGACGACGACGUUGAUAGGCCGGGUGUGUAAGCGCAGCGAUGCGUUGAGCUAACCGGUACUAAUGAACCGUGAGGCUUAACCUUACAACGCCGAAG